ACUAGGGAGCAGAAAGCUAAGUUAUCAGUUAGCAAGUUUCCCGCUCCUGAUCGGCUAAUGAAGCCCUUGUUGCUCUCUUUGUGUUUCUGCUGUUUUAUUUAUUAAAUCUUCUUUCUACUUUAACAUGCGAUAAAUGUUUUAUCUGUCAGUGUGAACUACAAGCAGCUCCACAGAGAUGAAAACAGCGCGCAGAGACUCUGAGCGGAGCUAGCGAUGCUAGCGAUGCUAACAGGCUCCAGCAGCAGCUUCAGAGGAGUUGUGGUUCCUAAACUGGAGCUUCAGCUCCAACAGAGCUGAAACAAAGCUCUACAACUCUGGUUUAGACGCUAAGAUGUUGAGCUUCCGGUCUGAAGUUCCUUCAUUCAGAGACUCAAACUGAAAUGUUCUUUAGUGAAGAAGAAGCUUCAUCUGGAUCUGAUGUUGAAGCUGCAGUUUGAAUCCGUCUCAGGAUUCGGUUCAGAAUCCAGUUCAUGUCACUGAUCAGCAUCAUUGUGGCUCCAGAACGUGGCCCACCUCUACCUGUGCAGGCUGGAGGAGGCUAAGAGGAGGUUCUGAUGGAUCCGGUCUUUACCAGCUGUGGACACUGGUUCUGCAGGAAAUGCAUCAGGUGCUACUGGGACCAGUCUGUUCCAUUUGGACCCUCCUCCUGCCCCCAGUGUGGAGAACGACCCAGAACAGGAUCUGAACGUCUGACAGCCAAUCAGAGCAGCUGUUCUCCAGGCGUUUGUACAUAUCAGAAGAGACACUGCCAGACUGAAUGGACCGGUUCUGACCGAGCCGGGGUCAGAAGGGACGAAUAUUCAGGUAGCAGGAAGGGUUACCGACGGUAACGACCUUCACCAGAAUCAGUAAGACCUGCUGGGUGAAGUUCUGGUCCAAGAUUUGGCUGAAUCCUGAAUAUUCUCCCUGCUGAUGCCACGUUUGAGGUGUGUGUGUGUGUGUGUGUGUGUGUGUGUGUGUGUGUGUGUGUGUGUGUGUGUGUGUGUGCUCCACUCAGGACUCUGAGAUGCUUUCCGUUGCAGAUUGUUUCUGACUCAUACUUGAAGAGUCCGGUUCUGUUUUUGUGCUGAAAGUUUGGAACAAUCAUGUUUUUGUUGUUUUUUCCCCCAAAUCCAAAUUUUAAAAAAGGAGGAUCAUUCCAGAAGUCGGGUCAGAACCGGCCGGUAGUCGGGUCGAUGGUGAUGGAGGAAGCACAAAGCGGCGGCGGCGGCGCGGUCCGAGCUGCAGCUCUUUGGAUCAUGUGACGUUUAGUUUCUUUCUGAAUGUAACGUGUUUGUUCUGGUUCUUCUUCAUGUGUAUUUAUGCGCCACCAGCAGAUAUUUAUUCACAUCCAAAUAAAAA